AACGAACGCUGGCGGCGCGUCUUAAGCAUGCAAGUCGAGCGGCAAGCUGUAGCAAUACAGCCUAGAGCGGCGGACUGGUGAGUAACACGUGGGUGAUCUACCCUUAGGUUGGGGAUAGCCAUUAGAAAUAGUGGGUAAUACCGAAUGUGGUUGCCGGGUUGUGACCUGGUAAAGAAAGGAGCUACGGCUCCGCCUGAGGAUGAGCCCGCGUCCCAUUAGCUAGUUGGGGGUGUAACGGACUACCAAGGCGAUGAUGGGUAGCCGGCCUGAGAGGGUGAACGGCCACACUGGGACUGAGAUACGGGCCAGACUCCUACGGGAGGCUG
rnacentral:rRNA from 1 species